rnacentral:rRNA from 1 species
UACGUAGGGUCCGAGCGUUGUCCGGAUUCAUUGGGCGUAAAGAGCUCGUAGGCGGCUCAGUAAGUCGGAUGUGAAAACUCAGGGCUCAACCCGGAGACGCCAUCUGAUACUGCUGUGGCUUGAGUCUGGUAGGGGAGCACGGAAUUCCUGGUGUAGCGGUGAAAUGCGCAGAUAUCAGGAGGAACACCGGUGGCGAAGGCGGUGCUCUGGGCCAGUACUGACGCUGAGGGAGCGAAAGCGUGGGUAGCAAACAGG